rnacentral:rRNA from 1 species
GAUGAACGCUGGCGGCGUGCCUAAUACAUGCAAGUCGAGCGAACGGACGAGGAGCUUGCUUCUCUGACGUUAGCGGCGGACGGGUGAGUAACACGUGGAUAACCUACCUAUAAGACUGGGAUAACUUCGGGAAACCGGAGCUAAUACCGGAUGAUAUUUUGAACCGCAUGGUUCAAUAGUGAAAGACGGUCUUGCUGUCACUUAUAGAUGGAUCCGCGCUGCAUUAGCUAGUUGGUAAGGUAACGGCUUACCAAGGCAACGAUGCAUAGCCGACCUGAGAGGGUGAUCGGCCACACUGGAACUGAGACACGGUCCAGACUCCUACGGGAGGCAGCAGUAGGGAAUCUUCCGCAAUGGGCGAAAGCCUGACGGAGCAACGCCGCGUGAGUGAUGAAGGUCUUCGGAUCGUAAAACUCUGUUAUUAGGGAAGAACAAAUGUGUAAGUAACUGUGCACAUCUUGACGGUACCUAAUCAGAAAGCCACGGCUAACUACGUG